ensembl:lncRNA
UUUAACAGCUGAACAAGAGCUGUGUGGAUAAGGAAGGUGACAAAGGAGAUGGGCCACUUUGAAAUUACCAGUAAGCAGAAGACCAACUGAACUGCUGUAUGAUACCGCAUUAUCCAAGUCAGUCUAAUAGGGAGACCGUGGGAAUGGAUGGACCUCAUGCUGGAUGCCUACAUGGAUGUGGGGGUUCCAGGCCCUUUUGGGAAGUGCAGUGCUGCAAAGGAUUUAGUACAUCACUGAAGUCAAACAUGGCUACGAAUCAGAUUCACUGCAUGUGACAGAAGAUGAGUAAGCUAAGCUCUGUUUCGGUGCUCUUGGAUGAGGUGACAUCACUUAUAUACUAUCUGAACCAUCUGAAACGUCUCUAAUAAUGAUAAAAGCAUUUUAGGCUGGAAAAGAUUCUGAAGAUCAUUGGGUCCAGUCAUCCACCUAACUACCAAGUCCAGCACUUAACAGAAGGUAAAUUUCUAUGUCCAUUUAGAUACAGACUGAUUUGCAUGUAAUUGCCACUGAUGCGGUGGGAUGCACUGGGUUAAGACCAGGUUAGAAACUUGACAAAAUGUGUGGCAAAUUGUUUGGACUAUAGCAAAAGGUGUAAGCUGUUGGGAGCUUUGCCCAUGUUUCAUCUGCAACAGGCUGAGGUUCUCCAUCCUCUAACCUGUACUACAAGUUAUCUGUCCCAAUAAAUGAACAUUUUGAUUUCCUGAAAAAAAAAAGCCAGUAACAAUGAAUCCCGUUUCAGCUGAAGAAUUGAGUAAUUUCCCCAAAAUCUUGAAAGCAGAAACUUAUCAACACAACGCCCUGCCAUGUCCACAAUUUGAAAGGCUCCUGCCUGAUCUGGCAAAGCUGAUGAUUUCAGAGGAGCUCUAUUGCUUGGAGUAGCUCCAUUUUGAAGCAUCCACUUUGAGGUACAGUAAGCCUCAUCCUAUGAGCACACAGUGAUCAUGGAUCAAGCUGAAGUCACAGCGAGGAGAAAAUGGCCAUCGGUUUCAAAAACUCAG